rnacentral:tRNA from 1 species
GGCCUGUUAGCUCAGCUGGUUAGAGCGCCGUGCUAAUAACGCGGACGUCGUGGGUUCGAUCCCCAUACAGGCCA